rnacentral:rRNA from 1 species
GCGGGUGCUAACGUCCGUCGUGAAGAGGGAAACAACCCUGACCUACAGCUAAGGCCCCUAAUUCAUGGCUAAGUGGGAAAGCAGGUGAGACGACCAAAACAACCAGGAGGUUGGCUUAGAAGCAGCCAUCCUUUAAAGAUAGCGUAACAGCUCACUGGUCUAAAUAAGUUGUCCUGCGGCGAAGAUGUAACGGGGCUCAAGCCAUGAGCCGAAGUCUGGGAUGCAAUUUAUUGCAUGGUAGCAGAGCGUAGUG